AGGAAUAUUGGUCAAUGGACGAGAGUCUGAACCAGCCAAGUAGCGUGAAGGAUGACUGCCCUAUGGGUUGUAAACUUCUUUUAUACGGGAAUAAAGUUAGCCACGUGUGGCUUUUUGUAUGUACCGUAUGAAUAAGGAUCGGCUAACUCCGUGCCAGCAGCCGCGGUAAUACGGAGGAUCCGAGCGUUAUCCGGAUUUAUUGGGUUUAAAGGGAGCGUAGGCGGGUUGUUAAGUCAGUUGUGAAAGUUUGCGGCUCAACCGUAAAAUUGCAGUUGAUACUGGCGACCUUGAGUGCAACAGAGGUAGGCGGAAUUCGUGGUGUAGCGGUGAAAUGCUUAGAUAUCACGAAGAACUCCGAUUGCGAAGGCAGCUUACUGGAUUGUAACUGACGCUGAUGCUCGAAAGUGUGGGUAUCAAACAGGAUUAGAUACCCUGGUAGUCCACACAGUAAACGAUGAAUACUCGCUGUUGGCGAUAUACGGUCAGCGGCCAAGCGAAAGCAUUAAGUAUUCCACCUGGGGAGUACACCGGCAACGGUGAAACUCAAAGGAAUUGACGGGGGCCCGCACAAGCGGAGGAACAUGUGGUUUAAUUCGAUGAUACGCGAGGAACCUUACCCGGGCUUAAAUUGCAACUGACUGAACCGGAAACGGUUCUUUCUUCGGACAGUUGUGAAGGUGCUGCAUGGUUGUCGUCAGCUCGUGCCGUGAGGUGUCGGCUUAAGUGCCAUAACGAGCGCAACCCUUAUCGAUAGUUACUAGCAGGUCAUGCUGAGGACUCUAUUGAGACUGCCGUCGUAAGAUGUGAGGAAGGUGGGGAUGACGUCAAAUCAGCACGGCCCUUACGUCCGGGGCUACACACGUGUUACAAUGGGGGGUACAGAAGGCAGCUACACGGCGACGUGGUGCUAAUCCCGAAAGCCUCUCUCAGUUCGGAUUGGAGUCUGCAACCCGACUCCAUGAAGCUGGAUUCGCUAGUAAUCGCGAAUCAGAAUGUCGCGGUGAAUACGUUCCCG
rnacentral:rRNA from 1 species